GGGACCGUGGUGUAAAGGUAAGCGUGAUUGCCUCUCACCCAAUCGGCCUGGGUUCGAUCCCAGACGGUCCCG
rfam:Culex pipiens quinquefasciatus supercont3.48 genomic scaffold, whole genome shotgun sequence.